rnacentral:tRNA from 1 species
GGCACCGUACUUUAACAUAAAAGAUCUGAUUUGCAUUCAGACAACGAAGCGCCACUGCUUCCAGUGCCACCA